CUAAAAGUGCGUUAGGGCGUGCGUGCUCAGUCGCGUGGAGAAGGCAAUGGCGACCCACUCCAGUACUCUUCCCUGGAAAAUCCCAUGGAGGGAAGGGCCUGGUAGACUGCAGUCCAUGGGGUCGCGAAGAGUUGAACACGACUAAGUGUAGGAGAGACCAGAGAAGAUUCAUGUUCAGCUCUUUUUGACCCCAGGGACUGUAGCCCACCAGGUUGCUCCAUCCAUGGAAUUCUCCAGAAGUAGGGGAAAGAGUUGCUGGGAAGAAAUAGGAAGAUGGUAGGAAACAACAGAGAAAAGUGAACAAAGAAAGGACGACUCUAAAUCUAUAUGCUGAAUCGGAAAACAAAACCAAGGAUAUUCCAACCCCUGGAGAAAUGGCUGUACACCACCACCAUCACCACCAUCCCCACUGAGAGGAGUGAAUCUUGAUCCAGGAUGUUUGGCAUAAUUUAGAAGAGAGAAUAGAGUCCAGACAACUCUAACAGACAGCAUGUUUGCUGAUCUCUCUCCCUCACCCCCCC
ensembl:lncRNA